UGAGUAACACGUAAGCAACCUGCCUAUCAGAGGGGAACAACAGUUAGAAAUGACUGCUAAUACCGCAUAUGCCUUAGUAUCGCAUGGUACAAAAGGGAAAGGAGCAAUCCGCUGAUAGAUGGGCUUGCGUCUGAUUAGCUAGUUGGUGGGGUAAAGGCCUACCAAGGCGACGAUCAGUAGCCGGACUGAGAGGUUGAACGGCCACAUUGGGACUGAGAUACGGCCCAGACUCCUACGGGAGGCAGCAG
rnacentral:rRNA from 1 species